CCUUGUCCUGACAUGACAAAUAGCUCUCUCCCCAGCCACCGGAAGGUAGCUGUUUUGACAACAGAAACUCACAGGCAUUUUUUAUUUUAGGACUAUUCCUGAACGUGCUUCCUGCACUAACUAAUCCCCUCACAGCAAACCAUGUGGCGUAUGUGAAACAAAUUCCCCAAGAGCCAUACCUGUUGGGGAGUAAUUCAUGAGUAAAAAAUAUUCUGGGUUUAUCAUAUAUAGUAUACUUGUUCUCUUUGCAUGGUACGAUAUGGAAAUACUAACCACGAACCAUCGCUCCUUUGAAUAUUCUCAAUGAAGCUAACACUUUCUUUGAUACAGUUGUCAACUUCCUUCCUGCGGUACGCAGGGUAGAGUUUUCUAAAUAACACCAGAGCCUGAAGACAUGAUGAUGUACAUUCAACAUAUCUGAGAAUUCAGUUGUGAACUUUGUUUGAGUUUGUCUUACUUAUAAAAAGGCAGUACAACAAACGAAAAUCAAUGGGUUAUUGCAUCUUACGGGUAAUCGAUCAUUAUGCCUCCAAAGGUCUCUGAAGGAUUAAGAUACUGAAUUUUCAUGAAACACAUCAGUAUAGAGGAAACAUAGUUAACAAUCACAUGGAUAAAUGUAGCUGUAGUUUUUUCAACACUAUCUAAAUAUCUAAUCGAGCCAAGUGGAUCUGUACUAACAUAUGCAUUUUGAUAACUUAGUAAGUAUUUAGUUCAUCUUUGCAUUCUAAUCCAGUGACAUCCAAGAGUACAAAACCAAUAAAUGAAUUCCAUGCUUUCACCGUAAACGAACAUGAUUUUAUCAACUUGAUUCAUUCUGUGACUGUUUGUUUGAGCUAUCCUGAAAUGUUCACCAAACAAGGAAAUCGUCUGUUAUCUUGAGCUACCGUUUACACUGAUUCAUGCACGGAAAAAUUAACUUGCAGUACUGUGACAGCAACGCAAGCAAGGAAGAUCCUGAAAGGACUACUCACCUCCAGCCAUUUGUAAGACCUUGUAAGCUCAUAUGUCGCAAAACCACCAUUGUUAUUCUAAGAUGGUUAAAUAAGACAAAGAUAUGAGAGCUGGCUCUCUCAACAGAUGCGUUGAAAGUAUAAUAUUUGAAAGAAUACACAUUGAUGUAUACAUUAAUUAGAAUCAAAGAGAAAUUGCUAGCAAAGAAAUUUUGCAAGUAUUCGAAGCUCAUUUUAUAAUAUUAAAAGUGUUUUUUACAUCCACAAUAAGUUCUGUUGCUGCCUGUUCAUGUAAUUUAAAAUUGAGCGAUGUGUGAUAUGACAAAAAAUAGUUCUAAUAAUUCCACUACUCCAAGCAUUUAGUAGGGAGCGUGCAAAACACAGGCUAUGUUUACAAUUUUAAAUUGGGCAAUUGGGACAAUGACUUAUUCUAUGAUGACAGCUGAUGCAGAAGACGAGAAAAAUUCAAGGGUGCUUACCUUAAAAGACAGCAGACAGUCGAUAGCAUCAUAAAAUCUUUCAGCUUCCAGUGGUUCACCAACUUUUUCAGGGGAAAUCAUUGAUAACAAUAGUGCUGCCUGGAGGUAAGAAAAAAUCAAAUAAAUACAACUACUUAAAAAAUAUUAUAAAUUAUGAUGAUGAGCUUGAAAUUUUAUUUUCAAUAUUCAAGAAUAGAAGCACAGAGCACUAUUGAAUAUCAUACGUACAAAAGCUACAGUAUAUUGUUAUGCAUGUCCAAAAUAGUUUUCGAUUUAGAUGGGGAAAAAGAAAUAUAAUUAAAAUAAAGACAACCAAUAUUCACCUUUAGUCCUGUUGCCGUGCAAUCCGCUACAGCCCAACCUUGAUCGCCUGUGGAAAAUGUCCAUCCACCUUUCGACUUGUGGCGAUACCAGUUUUUGAAAUCACCAGGGCAAUUGUGAAGAACCUUUCAUGGUAAGAAAAAUACCCAAUUUAUAAGUGUGCCAAAUAAAUGCAAUUGACACUUCAUGGAGAAAAGUUGAGAUAUCCAGGCUAGUAGCAUGCAUGUACCUGUGACAUCUUAACGAAGGCAUGCACCCGUUUAAGAGUUACUAUAAAGUCUUCGAUAAGGCAAGUACCCACAAUGGCCUGAGCUGUCAAACCAGCUUCCCAUAGUUGGCUGCCGUCAUAGCCCUUCAAUUAAGCACAGUGCACAGAAGUUCGAUAUCAUGUCAUUAAAUAAAACAUGACAAUAAAAGUGACAAUAGGAUUAAUGUUUUUUUCAUUUUAUCAUGUUAGUCAAUAUAGUUGAGUGAAGUCAUCGUCUCAACAAAAUACAAAGUGAUUUAUAUAUGCUGUUUGUGUACUGUUGUUGGUGCUUGUUUCUUGAGCAAAAGAUACAAUAUGUAAGCUGUGGUCCUAUUCAGCUACGGUUAGUCGUUAACCACGCUCUGGAUGCAUGCAUGCAGAGUGCACCAUAGGGCAGCAUUGUGUAAGCACUGCUUGCAUGCCUUCAUAAUCACACCAGAGGGCAAAAGAAUACUUCUUUUUAAUAUAAUCAGCAGCUUUCCUGCUUGGUCCAUUUAAAAAAAUAAUAGGGCAUAAGAAUAAGCAAUAGUUUCAAGUAAAAGGGGCAGCAAUAGUUACCUUCAUUUUCAUGCCAUCUUCAGCAAGCCACAAAUAAUCAUAGAUUCGAGGAAUAUGGAGUUUGAAUGCCUCUGAGUUUGGAUCUUCAAUCCAGCAAGCAAGCAUAUGCAUUACCUGUGAUAAUAAAAAAAAAUUUGGAGCGAUCAGUUGAACAAAUGAAUUGUAAACUAAUCUUGAAUACCUUGCUCACAGGACCACUUGUGAUGUACCGACUGUUCUCAUCCUCAUAAUGAAUGUGACACAAUACUUUGCGCAAUGCUUUCUCCCUCAAUUUGCGCCCGGGCCAACUCAUCAUAAAAGGUUCAACAAACUUGUGGAGAGUGGCCCAUAAGAUAUCUUGAACCAACGAAUGCGGAUAGUACAAAUCUUCCUAAAGUACAAGCAAGAAAAAAUAUGGCAGCUAUCUAAGUUUCGAUAUUCACUAUAAUAACUGCAUUCAUAUUGUAGUGAUUUUAUAGUGACUGGUAUAAGCGAUUUUGUCUAAAAAUACUGAUGAUUGUUUCCUUGUUGAGUUGUCAAUUUAAAAGAUUCAGUUAUAUCCUAUGUAUUCUUAUACACGAAGCUAAUUAACAUCACUUGGUACAAUAAGCCUGCUUUCUUAUGAUCAUGACUUAUUACUCAAAACCAUCUUGUUCAUCGGAUUAAUAUUUCUAAUGUUAUAAUUCAGACUUUUCAACAAACCUUAGCACAUUGAUUUCGAGCGUUGUUCCAAUCAAUAUGGCUGUAUGAGUCUUUGUAGAGUUCAUUUCUCAAUUCCUGGACAAGUUGUGUCAUACGGCCAACAAACCUCUUUCCGUAAACGUAAGACAUGGGUAAAUACACCGAUCGACAAUGACUCCACAUUCGGCCUGAAACGAUUAGUGAAGCGUAAUAGCAUGAGCAAAAAAUAUCCUAACACAAAAGAAAGUAAUACUACUUAUCAACAAUGAGGUAUGGCAAUAGAAGUAGUCUAUAGUAAACUAAUAUGACGUGUACACAAAUAAAUAAUCUUGAGCCUGUUUGUCUCCCUCGUUUCUUAGCCCAAUUCACUGAACAAAGCCUAAAGAUUUGGUAUAGUCAAUGUUUUUUCCCGAUCCCCUUUCCAAAAAGGAAAGUUGUGGAAUGGUUAAGAAAAUAUUUAUUUACUGGUUUCACUUAAAGUAAAAUUAAGCAUGAACUCCCCAAAGUUCUACUUUAUCUAUUGUGAAAGUAUUUGAAAUUACUCAUUAUAUUAGAUAAAAAUGUUUGUAAAACAUAUAAUUUAAUUUUCGUUGUAUUUCAGAAAACUAUAAUUUUUUGAAUUAAUGACACAAAAGUGCACUUUUAAUAUCAUCGCCAUUAAAAUUUAUACAUUCACAAAUCAAUAUGUAAAUAUAUGCUGUCAACUUUUAUCCUCUUGCUAAUCAUGAAUGCUUUAUGUUCCAAUUGGUGUUGCUUUAUAAUCCCCAGCCACAAUUCACAAUAUGGGAUGUUGUUACCCUGAGCAAAAGGUCACUAGAUGCCUAGGUUUGCUUCAAUCUUUUCAUUAUUUAUUCAGUCUGCCAUGCGCAGCACCUAUGCACGGUACACUAAGGGUGUGGUUGGUUGUAUGAAAUGAUUCAAAAUAAUAACGAUCAUUUUGUUUGGUUGGGUGAAUUGUACCAACUCAUCGAUGAUGAAGCCAUCCUACUUAAUUUAUUAUUCUACUAGUAGGAGUGAAUACAAGCAAAUUGGUUGAACCCCACCAUCCAAAAUCAUCCAUACAUGCAUUAUGUAGUGCAUGCAACCAAACAACACUCUAAGUUAGUACAGUAGUUGUUAUGAUUUACCAACAGACAUUUAUUGCAUGCUCUGGUUCCAUCGCAGAUAAGUUUCUGUGUUUGUCCUGAGUAAAAGAUUCGAUGUCGACCAGAUUCAUAUAUAAAAGUUUUAACAUGCGCCAUAUAUCUAUGAAAAUACAUUUCAUAAUAGAUCUAAUUAUGCUCAUUUAAUUUGAUAUUUUAGAUAUAAUUAUUCUUUUCAAUAAACUAUGUUAAACAUAGAAUAAUCUGACGACAAAUUCAGAAUCUCUUAUAUGUAACACAAUGGAAUGUGCCUCAAGGAAGAAAUCAGAACCUGGGUGAAUCGGCAGGUAAUAUGGCAACAGCCAUAAUUCUGGUGGCAUCGGGUUGAUUCCAGACCAGUCAAAUACUCCAAGUACCUUAAAUGUAUAGUUAAGAGAUAUUCAUGAGUACUUUAGUUCGUGAAGCAAGAUUAAAUAACACUGGCGUGGCUAAGGGUUAAUUAAUCCCCUACUGCAAGCCAAAACUUCCCCCAUGACGUUGUAAAUGUUGCUCCUCCGCGCUCUAAAAUCCAAUUUCGACCUUGCUUCAUAGCUCCAUCGCCGCCAUUUGGGCCUUCCCCAAGUAAUCUCAAAGUAACAUAGUUCAAUGUUGUGCAAAACAUGGUGCUGUGGCCCUCAAUGUGCAACCCCCAGCCUCCAUCUUCAUU
rnacentral:lncRNA from 1 species